rnacentral:lncRNA from 1 species
AUGCUUAGUCUAUUUCCUCUUUCAAUUUGCCAAUACUAUAGGGAGUUGAGCUAGAAUACUCUCAAACGCAUCAAGAGAGCGGUGCUUUUGAGUUUUUAGCUAUUGGAUAGAGAGAUAUAAGGUUGGAAUGAUAGUGAUAGGUGGAAUAGUAUUUGAUCCAAUAGCUAUUAGUAAUCAAGGAAUAAAUCCAAGGGCUAUUAGUAAUUAAGGAGUAGAUCCAAGGGCUAGAAAUCUAGAAGCACUAAGGAGUUGGUGCUUUUAAAAGUAUUCUAGCUCAAUUCAUACUAUAGGUAACAAUUUUUAAAAAUUUUUUGUGCAG